GAUAAACGCUGGCGGCGCACAUAAGACAUGCAAGUUGAACGGACUUAAUCGAAAUAUUUAUAUUUUGAAGCGGUUAGUGGCGGACUGGUGAGUAACGCGUAAGGAACCUGCCUAUUAGAGGGGAAUAACAGUGAGAAAUCAUUGCUAAUACCGCAUAUGCCAUAGAUAUCACAUGAUAACAGUGGGAAAGGAGCAAUCCGCUAAUAGAUGGCCUUGCGUCUGAUUAGAUAGUUGGUGGGGUAACGGCCUACCAAGUCGGCGAUCAGUAGCCGGACUGAGAGGUUGAACGGCCACAUUGGGACUGAGAUACGGCCCAGACUCCUACGGGAGGCAGCAGUCGGGAAUAUUGCGCAAUGGAGGAAACUCUGACGCAGUGACGCCGCGUAUAGGAAGAAGGUUUUCGGAUUGUAAACUAUUGUCGUUAGGGAAGAGAAAGGACAGUACCUAAGGAGGAAGCUCCGGCUAACUACGUG
rnacentral:rRNA from 1 species